rnacentral:rRNA from 1 species
GACAGAGGGUGCAAACGUUGUUCGGAAUUACUGGGCAUAAAGCGCACGUAGGUGGUCCGCUAAGUCGCGUGUGAAAUCCCUCAGCUUAACUGGGGAACUGCGUCUGAUACUGGAUGGCUUGAGGUUGGGAGAGGGAUGCGGAAUUCCAGGUGUAGCGGUGAAAUGCGUAGAUAUCUGGAGGAACACCGGUGGCGAAGGCGGCAUCCUGGGACCAAUUCUGACACUGAGGAGCGAAAGCCAGGGGAGCAAACGGG